ensembl:snoRNA SNORD2 small nucleolar RNA, C/D box 2
GAGUGAAAUGAUGCUUAACCAUCUUUCGGGACUUACCCAAAAUCUGGGGAUAUCAUAUUUUAUCACUGAUCACUC